rnacentral:rRNA from 1 species
AAAGCAUUCUCUGGUGUUGAAGGCCCUGCAAAGCAGCAUCGCGGUGGCGGAGCGUCGUUUGCGACGCCCAACACACAAAACAAGCGGUGAGUGCUUUGGGGUGGGGUGACUGCGUACCUUUUGUAUAAUGGGUCAGCGACUUAUAUUCUGUAGCAAGGUUAACCGUAUAGGGGAGCCGAAGGGAAACCGAGUCUUAACUGGGCGUUAAGUUGCAGGGUAUAGACCCGAAACCCGGUGAUCUAGCCAUGGGCAGGUUGAAGGUUGGGUAACACUAACUGGAGGACCGAACCGACUAAUGUUGAAAAAUUAGCGGAUGACUUGUGGCUGGGGGUGAAAGGCCAAUCAAACCGGGAGAUAGCUGGUUCUCCCCGAAAGCUAUUUAGGUAGCGCCUCGUGAACUCAUCUUCGGGGGUAGAGCACUGUUUCGGCUAGGGGGUCAUCCCGACUUACCAACCCGAUGCAAACUGCGAAUACCGAAGAAUGUUAUCACGGGAGACACACGGCGGGUGCUAACGUCCGUCGUGAAGAGGGAAACAACCCAGACCGCCAGCUAAGGUCCCAAAGUCACAGUUAAGUGGGAAACGAUGUGGGAAGGCUCAGACAGCCAGGAUGUUGGCUUAGAAGCAGCCAUCAUUUAAAGAAAGCGUAAUAGCUCACUGGUCGAGUCGGCCUGCGCGGAAGAUGUAACGGGGCUAAACUGUGCACCGAAGCUGCGGCAGCGACGCUUAUGCGUUGUUGGGUAGGGGAGCGUUCUGUAAGCCUGCGAAGGUGUCCUGUGAGGGAUGCUGGAGGUAUCAGAAGUGCGAAUGCUGACAUAAGUAACGAUAAUGCGGGUGAAAAGCCCGCUCGCCGGAAGACCAAGGGUUCCUGUCCAACGUUAAUCGGGGCAGGGUGAGUCGACCCCUAAGGCGAGGCCGAAAGGCGUAGUCGAUGGGAAACGGGUUAAUAUUCCCGUACUUGGUGUUACUGCGAAGGGGGGACGGAGAAGGCUAUGUUGGCCGGGCGACGGUUGUCCCGGUUUAAGCGUGUAGGCUGGUUUUCCAGGCAAAUCCGGAAAAU